CACGGUAUUAAUUCAAACCCUUGUCCGUUCUUAACGUCUAUUUUUUUUUCUUCUUCUUCAUUUUCUUGAUUUAGAUUUUUUAUCUUUCGAGUGUGGUAGCGGCGAAGAGACAAGUAAUGGCUGUGAAUUCAUCAAUUGUCUCUGCGAAUUGAGUGCUGGAGCGGCCAAGAAACGAUGGGCACUUUCUAAUAUCUCAAAUCAUCAACUGUCUCUGCUCGUAUACUAUUUUCUCAUUCCUCCAAAUUUAGGAUAAAGAUUGAUGGGAUAAAACGAGACCCAUGAUUUCUUCCUUUUCAUUUCCCUUCAUUGUGAAAGAUUGGAGAGACAACAUGUAUUUAGUGGUCACACAUUCAGGAAUGUUAGAAUCUGGUCACUAUGUGACGUAUUUGCAUUUGCGAAACCAAUGGUACAAAUGUGAGGAUGCAUGUAUAAUUGAAGUUGGUGAAGAAGUUCUACCACAAGAGUUGUGAAGAUGUUAGAUGCCAACCAAUGUCACUGUGAGCAGACACAUUUGUUCCGAUAAUUGGUUGCUGCUAAAACUUCAAUGCUUGUGCACUGGACUUGGAUAUGUCUUAUGUAUAUUCUUUCCAGCCAGGUAAUAGUAUUGGUUACUGGUAUAAAACCAAUAUGAAGAAUUGUAACGAUUAUUAAAAAAGCAACCCCAAAGAUCUGAACGAUUAGAAGCACGGAGUGUAUUUAUGCCAUCAUCGUCUUAAUCAGUGAGCUAGGAAUCACUUUCUCAGUUGCCAACUUUUCAGGUUAUAUAAAGAUUUUUAGGAAAAAAACCCCACCGAAGAGAGAAACCAUACCCAACUUGUGUCACAUUUUCAUAUUGCGCAUUGAUUCUGAUCAUAUCAUAAUCUCCCAAAUUUUCAAGAAUGGUACAACCUUCCUCUGUGACUCAAGAAGCUGCCAACCCCUUUGAUUUUGUAUCCAAGUUUGGCUUUUUCGCAUCUGAUAAUUCCAAUAAACUCACUAACAACAGCUAUACUUCAGAUGUACACUCAAGUUGGGAUCUUUUGUGUUUAAAUCAUAAGAAUAAGCUAUAGAACCCUGUCUAGUUUCAAUAGUCGUAGAAAUGGUUGUAUUUUCAAGCAUUAGAAGAUUUAUUCUUCAUUUUGAUAGAGAUAUUAGGCUACAUUGCGAGUGAAUUCCACUUGAGUGCUCUGUUGGUGUUGAUUGUGAGGAUAACAAUGGGUUGAGUGAAAAUGGGGAUGUUACCAAGGAUAAAGGAUUAGUGCCCAUUAAUGGUGUUGAAUUAGAAUGUCCAAAAAAGGUGCUCAUUUUGAUAAGUGAUACUGGUAGGGGUCACAGGGCAUCUGCUGAAGCCAUUAAGGCAACUUUCAACAAACAAUAUGGAGAUAAAUAUCAGGUCAUUUUGGUUGAUUUUGUUAGAUAGUGUAGAACAUUCCAGUCUGCUGAUCCAGCAUGGUUUUAUCUUAUAUUUCCUGCCAAUGUUUUGCUUAUGUUAUUGUUGUUUCUGGCUGGGCAACUGGUCUUAAGCUUGUAAGUGAAUCAAAGGGUAUCACCUAUGAUGUCCAUUGCAAUACUGGAUUGCAUUUUUCUGUCUUGCAACAUUGAGCUAAUGCUUCUGUGUUCCUGAGGCCUGAAUCGUUUUUACGUUUAGUUAUUCAUUUUAUCAUUUAUGCUACAGAAACUUGUUAUUUGCACCUUAGAUAGGUAAAUUCUUUGAACUUAAGUUGGUUUCUCUGUGUAUAUGCUUAUCUUUGGUUUGUUGGUAGGGUUUUGCCUUGUUGUUGAGGCCGAAGAAGGAUCAUAAGUACAGAUUUUACUGGAAUAUCUACCAUUAAAUAUGUGUACAAUGGCUUCGAAAGAUAACAUGUUGUUUAUAAAUAUGUGACUUGAUCACUUCAAUUUCAGAACACACUAAGUGGAUGUUUUUAGGUCAUUUUGGAGCCUUUCUUAAUUGUUGACCCUAGAAAAUUAUAAUUGUGUGUUUGAUGCUUAAGCUGCCCUCCUUUUUCAUUGCUUCAACUUUUCCUCUGUGUUUUAAGUUAUGUUGCUCGGACUCUUCUAAAGUGUUGAUAAAUGUAUGUUGGGUCCUCCUAGAACUGUGUAUUUUUGGAAGAUCUAACACGAGAUGUGGAAGUAUAAUUGGGAAGUCGGAGCAACAUAGAUUCAUAGUUGACAUUAUAACAUCCAUUUCGGCACGUGAAUGAAUGUGUUAUAAAAUGAGCAAAUCACAUUUGGUGCCAACAUAGUUGACUGAGCAAGCACUAACCAGCCAUGUGAGAAAUUUCUCAGUUUACAAAAUAUUUUAAUCUUCUUUUCAAAGCACAACCCAAGCAACUUAAUUGCUACUAAAUAUUUUUUGAGUUAUUAAGGUGAGUGGAUCAGUGAACAGGGAAGAGGAAGUCCUAAUAAGAAACCAUAAUAUCUGUCUUUUAAAGUUUUACGUAUUGUUUGUAGUUCAUCAAUCUAAUUUUGCUGGUACAUCUGCUUUUAUUGCUAGGUUAGAUAACUUCAUUAGUUGAAUCCAGAAUGAUGUCCUAGUUUGGCCUGUACGUCUGCUAACAGAAAAUAAAAGACUUAACUUGUGUUAAAAAAAAAAGAACUUUCAGUUACUGCUGCAACAUGAAUAACAAGAAGAUUGUUAGAGGGAAGUUACUUCAUUUUAUUGUAUCAAGUGAUAAUAUAUAUUUGAUUACGGGAAUGGUAAAGGACAAGUUCCCCCAGUUGAGUGUUAUGUAUCUCAUUUUGAAUGUUUUUUUUUUACUGAAUUCAUUAUAGGCUUAAUGUUUGGUUACUAAUCUUUGAAUAAUGAAAUUCAUGUUCAUGUUUUACUCUAGCAAAUAUUUUACAGACUUGGAGCUACAUGUUGUAGCAAUAAAAAAACCACUAGCAUUGGGAUGGAAGUUAACGAUGUGAUACUAAAGUAUGACCGGGGGAGAUACAUGCUAAUUAUGUGUAGGAUGGUCUUAUUUCAAAUAUGAUUAUGAGUCUUGAAUUAGUAUCGAGCAACAAGGAAUUUCCCUUUAUUGUUGGGUUUUGUAAGACCUCUAAUUGUUGUGGUCAAAAUAAAUGUGUUUCAUAACACAAAUCAAAUUACACUAUUGGUACAUAUUGUACAUUGUUAAUUUACUAAGAAUUUCCCUACUAUUUCUGUUA